CCUACGGGGGGCAGCAGUAGGGAAUAUUGCUCAAUGGGGGAAACCCUGAAGCAGCAACGCCGCGUGGAGGAUGAAGGUUUUCGGAUUGUAAACUCCUUUUGUUAAAGAAGAUAAUGACGGUAUCUAACGAAUAAGCACCGGCUAACUCCGUGCCAGCAGCCGCGGUAAUACGGAGGGUGCAAGCGUUACUCGGAAUCACUGGGCGGAAAGAGCGCGUAGGCGGGAUAGCAAGUCAGAUGUGAAAUCCUAUGGCUUAACCAUAGAACUGCAUUUGAUACUGUUAUUCUAGAGGAUGGGAGAGGUAGGUGGAAUUCUUGGUGUAGGGGUAAAAUCCGUAGAGAUCAAGAGGAAUACUCAUUGCGAAGGCGACCUGCAAGAACAUAACUGACGCUGAUGCGCGAAAGCGUGGGGAGCAAACAGGAUUAGAUACUCCUGUAGUC
rnacentral:rRNA from 1 species